CACUGUCUCUCUAGCCUUCUGCACAUUCUGCACACACAGGCAGGGGGUCCCCACAGCUAAGUCUCCUGUCUCAUUGGUCUUCCUGCAAGUGCCUGUAGCUACCAGGGGCCCCCUUCCCACUAUGGGCAGCCAGGUGCUCUGCUGCGUGCUCCUUUGUCUCCUGGGAGCAGGCACAUUGGGUGGCAGAAUCACUCAGACCCCAAAAUACCUGUCCAAGGAGGAAGGACAAGAUGUGACCCUGCACUGUGAACAGGACUUUGGUCAUGACUACAUGUCCUGGUACCGACAGGACCCCGGGCAGGGGCUGAGGCUGAUCUACUUCUCCAGAGGUGAAACCAGUGUUGAGGAGGGAGACCUGGCUACAGGCUACCGGGCCUCUCGGGAGAAGAAGGCAUCCUUUCCUCUCACCGUGCCAUCGACCAGGAAGAACCAGACAGCUGUGUACCUCUGUGCCAGCAGCUUAGACACAGUGGGGCACAGCCACCUCCUUCACAUGCACAGACACUUGCAGAUCAGUGGAUUCCGGAGCCAGCUGCUGGCUCAGGGACGUCUGGGCAGUGGGGACACAGCCCCAAAGCUCCCUGCUCCCCGUGUGCGGGUCAUACUCCGCAGGUGA